AUUGAACGCUGGCGGCGUGCUUAACACAUGCAAGUCGAUCGGUAACAGGUGUAGCAAUACAUGCUGACGAGAGGCGGACGGGUGAGGAAUAUUUGGGAAUCUGCCCAUCAGCGGGGGACAACCCGGGGAAACCCGGGCUAAUACCGCAUACGCCCUACGGAGGAAAGCCGGGGACCGCAAGGCCUGGCACUGAUGGAUGAGCCCAAAUCGGAUUAGCCAGUUGGCGGGGUAACGGCCCACCAAGGCGACGAUCCGUAGCUGGUCUGAGAGGACGAUCAGCCACACCGGAACUGAGACACGGUCCGGACUCCUACGGGAGGCAGCAGUGGGGAAUAUUGGACAAUGGGGGAAACCCUGAUCCAGCGACGCCGCGUGGGUGAAGAAGGCCUGCGGGUUGUAAAGCCCUUUCGGUAGGGACGAAAGCUCCUGCUCCAACAAAGCAGGAGGUUGACUUAACCUGCAUAAGAAGCACCGGCUAACUCUGUGCCAGCCGCCGCGGUAAGAC
rnacentral:rRNA from 1 species